rnacentral:pre_miRNA from 2 species
GACUUGGUCUAAGCUCCUCAGUGUGAUGAUUAAACCUGAGGAGUUUAGAGCAAGUAAA